AAAGCCUGUCUCAGUUCGGAUUGGAGUCUGNAACCCGACUUCAUGAAGCUGGAUUCGCUAGUAAUCGCGCAUCAGCCACGGCGCGGUGAAUACGUUCCCGGGCCUUGUACACACCGCCCGUCAAGCCAUGGAAGCCGGGGGUGCCUGAAGUGCGCUGCCGCAAGGAGCGCCCUAGGGUAAAACCGGUGACUGGGGCUAAGUCGUAACAAGGUAAC
rnacentral:rRNA from 1 species